GCGCAACCCUUAUCCUUUGUUGCCAGCGAUUAGGUCGGGAACUCAAAGGAGACUGCCAGUGAUAAACUGGAGGAAGGUGGGGAUGACGUCAAGUCAUCAUGGCCCUUACGACCAGGGCUACACACGUGCUACAAUGGCGCAUACAAAGAGAAGCGACCUCGCGAGAGCAAGCGGACCUCAUAAAGUGCGUCGUAGUCCGGAUUGGAGUCUGCAACUCGACUCCAUGAAGUCGGAAUCGCUAGUAAUCGUGGAUCAGAAUGCCACGGUGAAUACGUUCCCGGGCCUUGUACACACCGCCCGUCACACCAUGGGAGUGGGUUGCAAAAGAAGUAGGUAGCUUAACCUUCGGGAGGGCGCUUACCACUUUGUGAUUCAUGACUGGGGUGAAGUCGUAACAAGGUAACCGUAGGGGAACCUGCGGUUGGA
rnacentral:rRNA from 1 species